AGAUGCUCUGUAAUGCACAAGUCUAGAAACUGCAUCUCCAAAGAGGAGCUGUGUCUGGAAAGCAGURCUCAUUCCCACCAGGCUGAACGGUUGCCAUGGRAGAUUAAAGUAUUAAUCAAAACAAGCAACRAUCUGGGUAUGAUUUUGACAAGGGAAUAACAUCAUAAGACRAUGUAAAGCUCAAAAAAGUUUAUUUGGCAUAAUAAACUUUUAUCCUACCAGAUAUUCAGAAAUGUUGGUGGUUCAUAACAGUGAGGGAGAACAAGACUUUCAACAGAUAACAGGAAGUCCGAAGUGUUAAAGAACGCUGAGUGUCAGCACCUGGUGAGAGAGAGGAAAGGUUCAGGAGGGAGCAACUCACCAUGGGGUUUUAAUAAAGGAAGGCAGGGAACUAUUACUGUGAAUGUGCUUUGUCCUGUUCAGUCAAUUUACCUUAUUCUGUCCUCAUAUUCGCUCUUGUUUUCCCCUUCCACCAUCGUCUCCUCUGUAGUUUAAUGUAAAUGACCCACCUUCCUUUGUGCAUUUUCCUCUGUGUUCUUACAUCUACUUCUGCAGAUGCUUUGGUUAUUUUAUUUCCCUUUCCACCCCCCUUCGGUGAAGUCCUUAUUUUUAGACACUCUUGAUGGCGUGUAGCUAUGUUUGCAUCUGCAGGUUCAGGAAGCUGACCUGAUUUCCCAGUAAUUCUCAGCACCAACUCCAUUCCUCAUGUCUCCUUCAUUGCGGGGAUCCCUGACAGGGAAACAGCACCUGUUCAUAGCACC